rnacentral:rRNA from 1 species
AUGCUUUGGUCUGAUUUUGUGGUGCACCCGGAGCUGUUGGGCUCUGAUCUUCAUCACAUGACUUCCUCCCAAGUGGAGGACUCAAUUAAGCUGUGUCAUGAGGUCUCUAACUGCUUGCAAGGCUGGCUCGUGCGUGUUGGACGUUUUCUGGAGUGGGUGGAGGUUGCUCUACAAAGGCUUUCUUUUGCACCAGCUCCCUUGGAUGAGGUGGGUGUGGAUCUCUUUGGUAGUCUCUCACCUCGUGUUGGGUCCAAUUCGACACCCCCUGUAUUAUCAGACUUUGAGGGUGAGACCUCUUCCAAGGUUGUGUCUCAUGACCCACAAGUAUAG